AACGUAGGACGCAAGCGUUAUCCGGAGUUACUGGGCGUAAAGCGCGGGUAGGCGGCCCGAUGCGUCCGAUGUGAAAUCCCCCGGCUCAACCGGGAGAGGCCAUUGGAAACGGUCGGGCUGGAGGGCAGUAGAGGCAGGCGGAAUUCCGGGUGGAGUGGUGAAAUGCGUAGAGAUCCGGAGGAACACCAGAGGCGAAGGCGGCCUGCUGGGCUGCACCUGACGCUGAGCCGCGAAAGCCAGGGGAGCGAACGGG
rnacentral:rRNA from 1 species